rnacentral:rRNA from 1 species
UACGUAGGUGGCAAGCGUUGUCCGGAAUUAUUGGGCGUAAAGCGCGCGCAGGCGGUUCUUUAAGUCUGAUGUGAAAGCCCACGGCUCAACCGUGGAGGGUCAUUGGAAACUGGGGAACUUGAGUACAGAAGAGGAAAGCGGAAUUCCACGUGUAGCGGUGAAAUUCGUAGAUAUCGGGAGGAACACCGGUGGCGAAGGCGGCGACCUGGGUAGAUACUGACGCUGAGGCGCGAAAGCGUGGGGAGCAAACAGG